CCCUACUAACCAAAAGAACCCUGAAACUUGGCCUUUUGAACAAUUGGAUCCUGUUGGAACAUCAAAGCCAGACGCUCCCAUCCUUAUGUUUGUCUCACCAAAUUGACGCUUCUACUCAGGUGAAAAAAAUACCUCCAGCACCAUCUGCUUGUAACGACUACUUCCAGAAUCACUUUCAGCUAUUUUUGCACGUAAUAUAACUGACAGAAAAAAUGGGAUUCCUUAGCUGGACAUCCAACUAAGACAAAUGAAGAACUAGAUAAGAUUAAGGGGGAAAAUCAGAACUGGUAAGACAGUUAUGUCCAAAUAAUUAAACAAGGGACCUAUGCACUUCGGUCACAGCUUCGUUGAACCACACCAGUGGUUCAACACAGCAAUAAUUUCCUAAUAGCGCAGAAAGACACCUGAAUAGUGCACAGGUGUCAACUGAGAAAAUGGAGAGUUGCUUUGCUACCCGAUACCUUCUGCAUAGGAUCUGCUUCUACAAAGCUUUGGUUUGACUGCAGGGUUCGAUAGGAUUCAGUAGGAUUUCCAAACCUGAACUGUUGGAGCAAUUCUUUGUUGUUGUUCUUUUCAUUUAAUAUUAGCACUGAAUAAAACAUUGAUUCAAUGAAAUGUCUUGAGAGAUAAGAAAUCAAAUAGCAAACAAAACACUUUUAAUUCCCUCUUUGUUGGUCUACAGCAUUAAAUUAAAUGGGAGAACUGCUUUUAUUUCCAGUAAUACUGCAGCACAACAGCUGUUUCUUUGCCUGGUUUCAGACAGGUUUUGAACACCUAGUUAGCUAGUUUCUUCAACUAAAAACUAAGAUCUAGCUUUGCAGUGAAGAAAAGGGGCUUUUAGGAUUCAAAUAGAUAGAAGUAUAAAUUCUCAUGAAUGACAGUGAAAUUAAUAUUUCCCCUGAAGUUAAAUUUAUGCCUUUUCAUCAUUAGGACAUUACUUUAAAUUCCCACCCUUUAACUUAAAAGGUGGUUAGUAGCAGUAAGUAAAAACAACCCAUUUCUGACUGGAGAGAAUAAAACAAAUGAGGUCAGAAGUCUGUCC
rnacentral:lncRNA from 7 species